CAGUCCCGCGGUAAUACGGAAGGUCCAGGCGUUAUCCGGAUUUAUUGGGUUUAAAGGGAGUGUAGGCGGUCUGUUAAGCGUGUUGUGAAAUUUAGGUGCUCAACAUCUAACUUGCAGCGCGAACUGGCGGACUUGAGUGCACGCAACGUAUGCGGAAUUCAUGGUGUAGCGGUGAAAUGCUUAGAUAUCAUGACGAACUCCGAUUGCGAAGGCAGCGUACGGGAGUGUUACUGACGCUUAAGCUCGAAGGUGCGGGUAUCGAACAGGAUUAGAUACCCCAGUAGUCCCUGUCUCUUAUACA
rnacentral:rRNA from 1 species